GGAGAAUGUUUACUGGAUGAAGGCCACUUCCUGAGGGGUGUUUGGCAGCUGGAGACCUGAUCACCGGUUGGAAAGAAGUAGAGUAGAAGAACUCUUUCUCGUUCCUUUCCAUCAUUUCUCCUGUCUGAAACAACCAGCCAAAAAUGCUUGAAAAAAUUAAGUUAAUCUCCUUUUGACAAACAACCCCCUGUUCUGCUUUGCCAGAUGAAGAUACCCAGUUGGACAAAGCCUUCGAUCAAUUUGAUGCUUGGAGUCUGACACGUACAAUGAUAGUGCAGCAUUAAAGAGAAUUCAUCAAGUUAAA